GAUGAACGCUGGCGGCGUGCCUAAUACAUGCAAGUCGAGCGAACAGAUGAGGAGCUUGCUCCUCUGACGUUAGCGGCGGACGGGUGAGUAACACGUGGAUAACCUACCUAUACGACUGGGAUAACUUCGGGAAACCGGAGCUAAUACCGGAUAAUAUAUUGAACCGCAUGGUUCAAUAGUGAAAGACGGUUUUGCUGUCACUUAUAGAUGGAUCCGCGCCGCAUUAGCUAGUUGGUAAGGUAACGGCUUACCAAGGCAACGAUGCGUAGCCGACCUGAGAGGGUGAUCGGCCACACUGGAACUGAGACACGGUCCAGACUCCUACGGGAGGCAGCAGUAGGGAAUCUUCCGCAAUGGGCGAAAGCCUGACGGAGCAACGCCGCGUGAGUGAUGAAGGUCUUCGGAUCGUAAAACUCUGUUAUUAGGGAAGAACAAAUGUGUAAGUAACUAUGCACGUCUUGACGGUACCUAAUCAGAAAGCCACGGCCAACUACGUG
rnacentral:rRNA from 1 species